GGCCAUAGGAAGUUACAGUCAGGGGCUAGCUGUAAUAGAUGAGGCUGUAUCCUCUUAAGAUCUCAGUAAACUGAAGUGUAUAAUUGACGGUAUCAAUUCACUGCUUUGGAAAACUAGACUUCAUUCUAAGGUAUAUCCUUUGAAAUUUUCUGAUUUUGAAGCUCUUCAUGGUCUGCAAUCUGUAUAAGCUGUGAGGCUGCUAUAUACAUAAGUAAAACUCACUUAUACCGAGCAGAUACUGGACGAUGUGUAAUCCUUUAUCUUUAGAUAUAUAAGCUCAACAUGAUCAGUAAUUACCUCUAUUGCCUGCACCUCGGGGUUGUGUUUUUCACCGUACUCUUUGGAGUAAUUCUUCUCAAUUUUAAGUUCUAACCGUGCCUCAAACUUCUGUGAUUUGUAAGCUUGUCCUGCACUUUCGAUGGACAUGUUGUGCAUGUGUUGUGUAUUCUAACCAAGCAAUUGACUGAUCAAAUCUGAUGAAUUGUCAUGGUAUGCAGGAAGAUAGUGAGAAAUCGGGUAAGGUGACGUCAGCAGGAAUGUAUUUCUUGCACUUUCAGGUGUAUAGAAUGGAUUCAACUGUAAAUGCGGUAUGUGAAUAUCACCCUGUUGGUCAAAUUCAUUUAUGCAUUGUUUUCGUCAGAGCUAGUAAAAAAUCUGAAAUAUUGCAGUUAGC
rnacentral:lncRNA from 1 species